AUUGAACGCUGGCGGCAGGCCUAACACAUGCAAGUCGAGCGAGAGGCGGACGGGUGAGUAAUGUAUGGGGAUCUGCCCGAUAGAGGUGGAUAACUACGGGAAACUGUAGAUAAUACCGCGUACAAUAGGAUGAGCACAAGUGGGAUUAGGUAGUUGGUGAGGUAAAAGCUCACCAAGACGACGAUCUCUAGCUGGUCUGAGAGGAUGACCAGCCACACUAGGACUGUGACCCAGCCCAGCCUCCUUCGGGAGGCAGCAGUGGGGCAUAUUGCGCAAUGGGGGCAACCUGACGCAGCCAUGCCGCGUGAAUGAAGAAGGCCUUCGGGUUGUAAAGUUCUUUCGGUAGCGAGGCGUUAACUACAGAAGAAGCACCGGCUAACUCCGUGCCAGCAGGAGCGGUAAUUC
rnacentral:rRNA from 1 species